CACGGACCAAGGAGUCUAGCAUGUACGCGAGUCAUUGGGACAUAACUAAACCUAAAGGCGUAAUGAAAGUAAAGGUCUGCCUUAGCGCGGGCUUAGGGAAGAUGGGCGUCCGGUUAAAAGCCGCGCUCCGCAUUCCCGGGGUGUCUCGUUCUCAUUGCGAGAAGAGGCGCACCAAGAGCGUACACGCUGGGACCCGAAAGAUGGUGAACUAUGCCUGGUCAGGACGAAGUCAGGGGAAACCCUGAUGGAGGUCCGUAGCGAUUCUGACGUGCAAAUCGAUCGUCGGAACUGGGUAUAGGGGCGAAAGACUAAUCGAACCAUCUAGUAGCUGGUUCCCUCCGAAGUUUCCCUCAGGAUAGCUGGCGCUCGUUGCGUACGAGUCUCAUCCGGUAAAGCGAAUGAUUAGAGGCAUUGGGGCCGAAACGGCCUCAACCUAUUCUCAAACUUUAAAUGUGUGAGAUCUCCGGCUUGCUCGAACCGUUGAAGCCGCGAGUCACGGAUCAGAGUGCCAAGUGGGCCAUUUUUGGUAAGCAGAACUGGCGCUGUGGGAUGAACCAAACGUCGAGUUAAAGCGCCCAAAUCGACGCUUAUGGGAUACCAUGAAAGGCGUUGGUAACUUAAGACAGCAGGACGGUGGCCAUGGAAGUCGGAAUCC
rnacentral:rRNA from 1 species